rnacentral:misc_RNA from 1 species
AGCAGCCGCGGUAAUUCCAGCUCCAAUAGCGUAUAUUAAAGUUGCUGCAGUUAAAAGCUCGUAGUUGAAUUUCGGGAUCAAUAUGUUGGUCGUGCCUCGGUACGUACUAGCUUAUUGGUUUCUCCCUUCUGACGAACCAUGAUGUCAUUUAUUUGGUGUUAUGAGGAAUCAGGACUGUUACUUUGAAAAAUUAGAGUGUUUAAAGCAGGCUCACGCUUGAAUACAUUAGCAUGGAAUAAUGAAAUAGGACGUUUGAUUCUAUUUUGUUGGUUUCUAGGAUCGACGUAAUGAUUAAUAGGGAUAGUUGGGGGCAUUAGUAUUCAAUUGUCAGAGGUGGAAUUCUUGGAUUUAUUGAAGACUAACUACUGCGAAAGCAUUUGCCAAGGAUGUUUUCAUUAAUCAAGAACGAAAGUUAGGGAUCGAAGACGAUCAGAUACCGUCGUAGUCUUAACCAUAAACUAUGCCGACUAGGGAUCGGAUGAUGUUAAUUUUUUAAUGUACUCAUUCGGUCCG